rnacentral:rRNA from 1 species
UACGUAGGGGGCAAGCGUUGUCCGGAUUUAUUGGGCGUAAAGAGCGUGUAGGCGGCCAGACAGGUCCGUUGUGAAAACUCGAGGCUCAACCUCGAGACGCCGAUGGAAACCGUCUGGCUAGAGUCCGGAAGAGGAGAGUGGAAUUCCGUGGUGUAGCGGUGAAAUGCGUUGAGAUCGGAAGGAACGCCCGUGGCGAAAGCGGCUCUCUGGGACGGUACUGACGGCUGAGACGCGAAAGCUAGGGGAGCGAACGGG